rnacentral:rRNA from 1 species
UGGGGAAUAUUGCACAAUGGGGGAAACCCUGAUGCAGCGACGCCGCGUGAGUGAAGAAGUAUUUCGGUAUGUAAAGCUCUAUCAGCAGGGAAGAUAAUGACGGUACCUGACUAAGAAGCCCCGGCUAACUACGUGCCAGCAGCCGCGGUAAUACGUAGGGGCAAGCGUUAUCCGGAUUUACUGGGUGUAAAGGGAGCGUAGGUGGCAAGGCAAGUCAGAUGUGAAAGCCCGGGGCUCAACCCCGGUACUGCAUUUGAAACUGUCUGGCUGGAGUGCAGGAGAGGUAAGCGGAAUUCCUAGUGUAGCGGUGAAAUGCGUAGAUAUUAGGAGGAACACCAGUGGCGAAGGCGGCUUACUGGACGGUAACUGACGUUGAGGCUCGAAAGCGUGGGGAGCAAACAGGAUUAGAUACCCUGGUAGU